rnacentral:rRNA from 1 species
AACGAACGCUGGCGGCAUGCCUAACACAUGCAAGUCGAACGAGACCUUCGGGUCUAGUGGCGCACGUGUGCGUAACGCGUGGGAACCUGCCCUUAGGUUCGGAAUAACUCCCCGAAGGGGGUGCUAAUACCGGAUAAUGUCUUCGGACCAAAGAUUUAUCGCCUUUGGAUGGGCCCGCGUUGGAUUAGCUAGUUGGUAGGGUAAAAGCCUACCAAGGCGACGAUCCAUAGCUGGUCUGAGAGGAUGAUCAGCCACACUGGGACUGAGACACGGCCCAGACUCCUACGGGAGGCAGCAGUGGGGAAUAUUGGACAAUGGGCGAAAGCCUGAUCCAGCAAUGCCGCGGGAGUGAUGAAGGCCUUAGGGUUGUAAAGCUCUUUUACCCGGGAUGAUAAUGACAGUACCGGGAGAAUAAGCUCCGGCUAACUACGUG